rnacentral:lncRNA from 1 species
UCAGAUCGCACCACGCACACGACCACCAAAUACGCAAACCAGCCGCCGCCGAGUAAAUCUCGCCUGUGUCCACCACUUUGAGCGUUGUGGCUUCAGGCCAUCGGCGGUCCUCCAUGGGGAUGCCCGUGGCUGCGGGUGGCGCGUGGGAGCUGCAUGGUGGCGGGAACUCCUCGCCAGCGUCGUGGUUCUACGCAUCAUCGUGAAUAGGAGCCCCUGUGCUGCGCAAUCGAAGGUAAUAGCAUCAUCAUAUGGCUUGCUUCCUUCUCUAUUGCGCAUAGCGUCCGUUAGCAGGAAGAACGGGUCCCGGAUGGCCGGGGCGUCUGCUCGCCGGCGCGGUGCCGCCGCGGUUGGGGACGCCGCCGCGGUCUAGGGGCGUUGGUUGAGGGAGUAAUGGGAAGCGUAGAUUUAUUGACGAUCAGCCUGGAUUAGAUGUUAGGGUGUUGCGCCGGGCGCCAUUGAUCCCGCGGGCUUCUGAUCGGACGGCCGAAUUUCUCUAUACCCCUUCGACCGUGGCAAAAUUCUUAAAGAGCCCCUGAUCUUCACAGUACUCAACCCGCCGUCCUCGGCCGAUGUAAAGUAAUUGCUAUUGAGCCCUGUAUAUUUAUAAACUAGCCCAUGUACUCUUUAGAAUUUGUAGCAGCAGUCCAUAGCCUUUGUUUUCGGUAAAUAGAAUUUUAGAAAAUGAUUUAUAAUAUAGAAUAAUCUUAGAUAAUUCAUAACUUCUCCAUUUUAACCCCUUUUUUUAACCCAUUCCAGUUGUAAUAAUUUUUUUAUAUUGUCUAUCAACUUGUAACACUGUUUAGCCAUGAAACUUGAAUUAAAAUUAUUCAUUAAGAUUAAUCUAUUCUAAGUACUGAAUAAUUUCAGAAGUUAAUAACUUAAUGACUGUAACUUCGAAUUUAGUGGUUCUUGUUUCUGCGAUCUCGUAGCAACGUGUAGAAUAUUAUUAUUUAGUCUGCUCUUAUGUUUGGUGUGAUGUUAAUUUUGUCUAUACCAUGUAUGUUUGUAUUACUACGACUAGCAGUGAGAACACGUGUCAUCUAAAGAGCAAGUUGGUACCUG